CGUGAGGGAUGACGGCCUUCGGGUUGUAAACCUCUUUCAGCUCCGACGAAGCGAGAGUGACGGUAGGAGCAGAAGAAGCACCGGCCAACUACGUGCCAGCAGCCGCGGUAAUACGUAGGGUGCAAGCGUUGUCCGGAAUUAUUGGGCGUAAAGAGCUCGUAGGCGGUCUGUCGCGUCGGCUGUGAAAACUCGGGGCUCAACCCCGAGCUUGCAGUCGAUACGGGCAG
rnacentral:rRNA from 1 species